GCGGUACGGGAUGGGCCCGCGUCUGAUUAGCCAGUUGGCAGGGUAACGGCCUACCAAAGCGACGAUCAGUAGCCGGCCUGAGAGGGUGGACGGCCACAUUGGGACUGAGACACGGCCCAAACUCCUACGGGAGGCAGCAGUGGGGGAUAUUGCACAAUGGGGGAAACCCUGAUGCAGCGACGCCGCGUGAGUGAAGGAGCGUUUCGGCGCGUAAAGCUCUAUCAGCAGGGAAGACAAACUGCCCCGGAAGGGGCAGCCGGACGGUACCUGACCAAGAAGCCCCGGCUAACUACGUGCCAGCAGCCGCGGUAAUACGUAGGGGGCAAGCGUUAUCCGGAUUUACUGGGUGUAAAGGGAGCGUAGACGGCAAGACAAGCCUGGAGUGAAAGGCGGGGGCCCAACCCCCGGACUGCUCUGGGAACUGUCUGGCUGGAGUGCAGGAGGGGUAAGUGGAAUUCCUAGUGUAGCGGUGAAAUGCGUAGAUAUUAGGAGGAACACCAGUGGCGAAGGCGGCUUACUGGACUGUAACUGACGUUGAGGCUCGAAAGCGUGGGGAGCAAACAGGAUUAGAUACCCUGGUAGUCCACGCCGUAAACGAUGACCACUAGGUGUCGGGGGCUUAAGGGCGCCCG
rnacentral:rRNA from 1 species